GGCUGCGUCCGAAACCGCCUACUUCUCUACUAUUUAGUAGGGGAAAAGCAGUAGGCGAGCGAAUAAGUAUGUCAGAAGCAAAAAGAGUAGGCGAAAAUUACCUGGGUGACGUAAUAAUUCUCGCGAGAUUCGGCCGUGCGCCUACUUAAAGUGCGUCCGAAACCGCCUACUUACCUACUAUAUAAUAGGGGAAAAUCAGUAGGCGAGCGAAUAAGUAUGUCAGAGACCUCAGUAAUCAUAAAUGAGUAGUCGAGAGGUUCCCGGAUGGCCUACUACUUCCGCCCAGAUUCUGAAGUAUUCCUCGAUAGAUACUUUUCUAUCCCAGGAGGCCACGGGAGAGGAUACGUCAUGAUCAAACACGGAGGAGAAAAGCGACGCGGAUGCUGUCAAAUAGCUUUGUGUUGGAGCAGGACCUGUGAGGAAAGAUGACAGUGGCAUUUGUGGAAAAAAAAAGAAAAAGGAAAACCUGAAACAAAAAUAUAAAGUAAGAUCAUUUUGUUACUUCUAUUACAGAAAUCAGAUGACAUUGUGCUGCUAAAAUGACUGCUUUUGUAUUAUAUUUGUGCAUUAUUGUAGGAUGUGAAUGUCCUCAGACGGGUGUGAGCAGUGAGGAUGGAGAACCACAGCAGAUCCUGGGAAUGGUUCAGUGUCAUGGACGAGACCCUCCAUCACUCCUCCUGCCCUUACUGCCUCAUCUGGACUGAUGUUGAUGUGAUUUCUUCAUCCUCAGGAUGAUCCCGUUGGAGCAACCUGGAGUAACCUGGAGUAAAGUGUCUGGAUCAAGCACACACUGGUGGAGACGCUGCAGAGAUCGAACCAGCAAACCUUCUGCUGACCAGCUCAGUGGUUUAACCCACCACACCACAAAAUCAUGCUGAUGGAGAGCACAUGGAUGUUUGGAUCAGACACAGCAGAGCCAUAUUGUCCCGCACAUCUUCUCCCACUCCUGCUUUAAGGUUGUGGGGUUCAGAGGUCCAUCAUCAUCUUCCUCAUCCUCAGGAUCAACGAUGUCUCCAUUGAGAAGAGCAGCAGUGAGGGACAUGAUGGAUGAAGGUGUUCAUCAGCUGCUUCAUCAGAAUAAAGCUGCAGAAUUGGCACAGCUGUGUGAGAUGGCAGUAGGACUGUAAAUACGUGAUUGUUAGAUCAAUACAUUUGAAUAAAGCUUUGUUUCGUGUGUUGUUGACUUGUACAUGCAUUUAUUUAUUUAUUGUCAUUAUUACUUUUAUUAAUUCUUUACUUUAAUUAUGCUAUUAUCAGUAAAUUUAUAUAUUUUAUUACUUCAUGCUUUCAUUGACUGUAAAUGGAGAUGUAUCACAUCAGCUGUAUUUGUCUAGUGUGUGUUCAUGCACAGCUGUCAUAUAACAAAACAUUACAUUUUGCUUGUUUUACUAAAGAAGUAAUAUGAAAAGUAAUAUAAUUAAGUUUUGGUUUAUGGUUAAUGUUGGGGUGUGCUAGCAAAGCAGUUCAUUCUGGGGUAAUCUAAAUUAAGUAGUUUAUACUUACAUUUUUGGAGUAUAAAAUCAGUUUUCUCCAAAGGCGAGAUCUUCGAGCAGCUGCUGAUGUCUUCUUUGUGCAGACAUUGCUAACACUGAGGAAAACCGCACUAGGUAGGGUUGAUGAGUUACUGGUGCUGUGAGGUGUUAGUGCAACUGUCACUCAUAUCUUUAUUUUAUUGCAGGACCUAUAAUUACAUACAAGAUCAGGGAAAAUACCAGUUGUAUCUUUAACAAUGAACAAUAAUAAUAAAAAAAAAAACGUGUUUGUAUACAUCAUCGUUUGAAAUUAUAUACAAACACACAUAAAGCAUGAUAUUUAUAUUUUGAAUACAUCAUAAUGCAUAAAAGUAUUUAUUUAUUAUUUGUAAGCCUGAGUUAUGAGCCAAUUCAACAAGAAAAUGUGGAAAAAAAUUUGAUUUAUGCUUGUGGAUGGGCAUUUUUGCAUAUAAAAUAAAGAAAUUAAUAACAUAUUCACACGAAUUUGGGUAUUUGUAACAAAAAAUAAACUCGCAUUAUAAAAAUAUAAGAACUUUAAAUUAACCCAAAAUAUAUUAGUUGUAGCCUACUACAAUUACAAAAUUACUGGCAGCUGUUUCUUCAACAAGACCACAAAAUAAGCAGUUUAAUCAAUAUCAAGAUAAUAACAGAUAGAAGA